rnacentral:rRNA from 1 species
GGCGGGACACGUGAUAUCCUGUCUGAAUAUGGGGGGACCAUCCUCCAAGGCUAAAUACUACUGACUGACCGAUAGUGAACCAGUACCGUGAGGGAAAGGCGAAAAGAACCCCUGUGAGGGGAGUGAAAUAGAACCUGAAACCGUGUACGUACAAGCAGUAGGAGCAGGCUUUGUCCUGUGACUGCGUACCUUUUGUAUAAUGGGUCAGCGACUUAUAUUCAGUGGCAAGGUUAACCAUCUAGGGGAGCCGUAGGGAAACCGAGUCUUAACUGGGCGUUCAGUCUCUGGAUAUAGACCCGAAACCAGGUGAUCUAGCCAUGGGCAGGUUGAAGGUUGAGUAACAUCAACUGGAGGACCGAACCGACUAAUGUUGAAAAAUUAGCGGAUGACUUGUGGCUAGGGGUGAAAGGCCAAUCAAACCUGGAGAUAGCUGGUUCUCCCCGAAAGCUAUUUAGGUAGCGCCUCGGACGAAUACUACUGGGGGUAGAGCACUGUUAAGGCUAGGGGGUCAUCCCGACUUACCAACCCUUUGCAAACUCCGAAUACCAGUAAGUACUAUCCGGGAGACACACGGCGGGUGCUAACGUCCGUCGUGGAGAGGGAAACAACCCAGACCGCCAGCUAAGGUCCCAAAUUACUACUAAGUGGGAAACGAUGUGGGAAGGCUCAGACAGCCAGGAUGUUGGCUUAGAAGCAGCCAUCAUUUAAAGAAAGCGUAAUAGCUCACUGGUCGAGUCGGCCUGCGCGGAAGAUGUAACGGGGCUAAGUA